GGUUUAAUUCGAUGCAACGCGAAGAACCUUACCUGGUCUUGACAUCCCGGAGACCCUUAGGAACUAGGGGUGCUUCCAUCUGGAAGAAUCUGGAGACAGGUGCUGCAUGGCUGUCGUCAGCUCGUGUCGUGAGAUGUUGGGUUAAGUCCCGCAACGAGCGCAACCCUUGCCUUUAGUUGCCAGCAGUUCGGCUGGGCACUCUAAAGGGACUGCCGGUGUUAAACCGGAGGAAGGUGGGGAUGACGUCAAGUCCUCAUGGCCUUUAUGACCAGGGCUACACACGUACUACAAUGGCCGAUACAAAGGGCAGCGACACUGCGAGGUGAAGCCAAUCCCGUAAAAUCGGUCUCAGUCCGGAUUGGAGUCUGCAACUCGACUCCAUGAAGUUGGAAUCGCUAGUAAUCGUGGAUCAGCAUGCCACGGUGAAUACGUUCCCGGGCCUU
rnacentral:rRNA from 1 species